AGCCACAAAAAGUCAACCUUGAGCCAAGCAGAUUGGAGAGUCAUACAUGCCAUUCCUGGGACCAUCAAAAAUGGCAGAGGUCACACAAAAAGGCAAAACUUUUAAGAGGUGUUUUAAACGUCGUAUGGGCCAAAGAGAAGCUGGAUUUCCUAUUGGAGUCACCUGUAACACACGUGUGACGAAAUUGGCCUGUGAGGACAAGGCAGUGAGCAGAGAGGACAGCAGUCCUUAUGAGAUCAAGCUCUAAGGCCUGGAGUGCAGUGGAGCAAUCUCAGCUCACUGCAGCCUCCGCCUCCCGGAUUCAAGUGAUUCUCCUGCUUCAGAUUCUCGAGUAGCUGGGAUUACAGUUUUGAGAAGAAUGCGAAGAAGAAAGGAAGAGUGAGCCUCUCUUUCCCAUCGUUACCCUCCAUUGUCCUCUUGACACCCUGCUUUCACAGAGAAAGAGUUUGAGACCCUCUCCCAGGAGCCAAGGAGAGGGGAACAGCUGGCUUCACAUCAUCUUUCUAUUCAACAAGAUACAAAAAGCUGAAGCCAGGAUGAUAGAAAAGCAACAAAGAAGACACGGUCCUUACUCAUUUCCCUUCCCACUUCAGAGCAAAUAUGGUGCCUGGUGUUCGAAGGGAGAACUUGUGGGCAG
rnacentral:lncRNA from 1 species